rnacentral:lncRNA from 1 species
CUGGAUAUUAGCAAAGUUCUCUUUCCUCUUGAAUUUCAUCGCGUGCACAUGUGUUAAUUCUUCUUGAAGAUUGGUGGCCCUCGGAGACUGAAUUGACAAUGGAAAAGAUAAAAUCGAGAAUUGAAGGACGCAUUAUGAAAGUUUCCUGACUUAUUUUUGUUUAAAAAAAUUGGAAUGAAUAAAAAUGUAUCAACACAGUUACCUAACAACGUGUUAUGGAUUUCGAUAAAUCCCUCUUGAUGCAAUGCUCGCAUAAAAUGAUACUCAUGUAAACGGUAAUGGAUGUAAUGGAUUGACAUAGUAUCGCAACAUUGGGAAGGACAACCAGUCGAAAACGGUCAUUCACAUGUGAUCAUCGAGAACUUAAAAAGGCGUAUUCUUGAUUUUGGGAAAGGUGUCUUCAUAUUUGGUAUGCCCUUUACUAUGAUAGCAAUGAUGAAUUAAAGGUUUUGGAUUUCAAAAGAAAGUUAAAUAAAAUA